AUUGAACGCUGGCGGCAGGCUUAACACAUGCAAGUCGAGCGGAGAUGAGGUGCUUGCACCUUAUCUUAGCGGCGGACGGGUGAGUAAUGCUUAGGAAUCUGCCUAUUAGUGGGGGACAACAUUCCGAAAGGAAUGCUAAUACCGCAUACGUCCUACGGGAGAAAGCAGGGGAUCUUCGGACCUUGCGCUAAUAGAUGAGCCUAAGUCGGAUUAGCUAGUUGGUGGGGUAAAGGCCUACCAAGGCGACGAUCUGUAGCGGGUCUGAGAGGAUGAUCCGCCAAACUGGACUGAGACACGGCCCAGACUCCUACGGGAGGCAGCAGUGGGGAAUAUUGGACAAUGGGGGGAACCCUGAUCCAGCCAUGCCGCGUGUGUGAAGAAGGCCUUAUGGUUGUAAAGCACUUUAAGCGAGGAGGAGGCUACUGAGACUAAUACUCUUGGAUAGUGGACGUUACUCGCAGAAUAAGCACCGGCUAACUCUGUGCCAGCCGCCGCAGUAA
rnacentral:rRNA from 1 species